rnacentral:rRNA from 1 species
AGAGUUUGAUCCUGGCUCAGGAUGAACGCUGGCGGCGUGCCUAACACAUGCAAGUCGAACGGAGAAUAUACGCUUCAGAAGCCUCGGCAGAUGAUUGUAUAUUCUUAGUGGCGGACGGGUGAGUAACGCGUGGGCAACCUGCCUCAUACUGGGGGAUAACAGCUGGAAACGACUGUUAAUACCGCAUAAGCGCACAGUGUCGCAUGACACAGUGUGAAAAACUCCGGUGGUAUGAGAUGGGCCCGCGUCAGAUUAGCCAGUUGGCGGGGUAACGGCCCACCAAAGCGACGAUCUGUAGCCGGCCUGAGAGGGCGGACGGCCACAUUGGGACUGAGACACGGCCCAAACUCCUACGGGAGGCAGCAGUGGGGGAUAUUGCACAAUGGAGGAAACUCUGAUGCAGCGACGCCGCGUGAGUGAAGAAGUAUUUCGGUAUGUAAAGCUCUAUCAGCAGGGAAGAAAGGCUCGUAAGAGAGAUGACGGUACCUGACUAAGAAGCCCCGGCUAACUACGUGCCAGCAGCCGCGGUAAUACGUAGGGGGCAAGCGUUAUCCGGAUUUACUGGGUGUAAAGGGAGCGCAGACGGAUUUGCAAGUCUGAAGUGAAACCCCACGGCUCAACUGUGGGCUUGCUUUGGAAACUGUAGGUCUAGAGUACUGGAGAGGUAAGCGGAAUUCCUAGUGUAGCGGUGAAAUGCGUAGAUAUUAGGAGGAACAUCGGUGGCGAAGGCGGCUUACUGGACAGCAACUGACGUUGAGGCUCGAAGGCGUGGGGAGCAAACAGGAUUAGAUACCCUGGUAGUCCACGCGGUAAACGAUGAAUACUAGGUGUUGGGGACCAUAGGUCUUCAGUGCCGUCGCUAACGCAGUAAGUAUUCCACCUGGGGAGUACGUUCGCAAGAAUGAAACUCAAAGGAAUUGACGG